CCUACGGGAGGCUGCAGUGAGGAAUAUUGGUCAAUGGACGAGAGUCUGAACCAGCCAAGUAGCGUGAAGGAUGACUGCCCUAUGGGUUGUAAACUUCUUUUAUAUGGGAAUGAAACGUUCCACGUGUGGGAUUUUGUAUGUACCAUAUGAAUAAGGAUCGGCUAACUCCGUGCCAGCAGCCGCGGUAAUACGGAGGAUCCGAGCGUUAUCCGGAUUUAUUGGGUUUAAGGGAGCGUAGGUGGAUUGUUAAGUCAGUUGUGAAAGUUUGCGGCUCAACCGUAAAAUUGCAGUUGAAACUGGCAGUCUUGAGUACAGUAGAGGUGGGCGGAAUUCGUGGUGUAGCGGUGAAAUGCUUAGAUAUCACGAAGAACUCCGAUUGCGAAGGCAGUUCACUGGACUGCAACUGACACUGAGGCUCGAAAGUGUGGGUAUCAAACAGGAUUAGAUACCCGUGUAGUC
rnacentral:rRNA from 1 species